rnacentral:rRNA from 1 species
GAUGAACGCUGGCGGCGUGCCUAACACAUGCAAGUCGAGCGAUUUACUUCGGUAAAGAGCGGCGGACGGGUGAGUAACGCGUGGGUAACCUGCCCUGUACACACGGAUAACAUACUGAAAGGUAUGCUAAUACGGGAUAACAUAAGAGAGUCGAAUGGCUUUCUUAUCAAAGCUUUUGCGGUACAGGAUGGACCCGCGUCUGAUUAGCUAGUUGGUAAGGUAACGGCUUACCAAGGCGACGAUCAGUAGCCGACCUGAGAGGGUGAUCGGCCACAUUGGAACUGAGACACGGUCCAAACUCCUGCGGGAGGCAGCAGUGGGGAAUAUUGCACAAUGGGCGAAAGCCUGAUGCAGCAACGCCGCGUGAGCGAUGAAGGCCUUCGGGUCGUAAAGCUCUGUCCUCAAGGAAGAUAAUGACGGUACUUGAGGAGGAAGCCCCGGCUAACUACGUGCCAGCCGCCGCGGUAA